rnacentral:rRNA from 1 species
GACAGAGGUGGCGAGCGUUGUUCGGAAUCACUGGGCUUAAAGGGCGCGUAGGUGGUAGUGCAAGUCUGGGGUGGAAUCCUAUGGCUUAACCAUAGAAUUGCCCUGGAAACUGUAUUACUUGAGUCAGUGAGGGGAGGGUAGAAUUCCUGGUGUAGCGGUGAAAUGCGUAGAUAUCAGGAGGAAGGCCUGUGGCGAAGGCGGCCCUCUGGCGCUGAACUGACACUGAGGCGCGAAAGCGUGGGGAGCAAAC